rnacentral:rRNA from 1 species
UACAGAGGGGGCAAGCGUUGUUCGGAAUUACUGGGCGUAAAGGCGCGUAGGCGGCCUGCUAAGUCAUACGUGAAAUCCCUCGGCUCAACCGGGGAACUGCGUGUGAUACUGGCGGGCUUGAAUUCGAGAGAGGGAUGCGGAAUUCCAGGUGUAGCGGUGAAAUGCGUAGAUAUCUGGAGGAACACCGGUGGCGAAGGCGGCAUCCUGGACCGAGAUUGACGCUGAGGCGCGAAAGCCAGGGGAGCAAACGGG